UGCGUAGGCGGAUUGGCAAGUCAGAAGUGAAAUCCAUGGGCUUAACCCAUGAACUGCUUUUGAAACUGUUAGUCUUGAGUGAAGUAGAGGUAGGCGGAAUUCCCGGUGUAGCGGUGAAAUGCGUAGAGAUCGGGAGGAACACCAGUGGCGAAGGCGGCCUACUGGGCUUUAACUGACGCUGAGGCACAAAAAUGUGGGUAGCAAACA
rnacentral:rRNA from 1 species